rnacentral:rRNA from 1 species
GACGAACGCUGGCGGCGUGCUUAACACAUGCAAGUCGAACGGAAAGGCUCCAGCUUGCUGGAGUACUCGAGUGGCGAACGGGUGAGUAACACGUGGGUAAUCUGCCCUGCACUCUGGGAUAAGCCUGGGAAACUGGGUCUAAUACUGGAUAUGACCUUUCUCCUUAUGGGGUUUGGUGGAAAGUUUUUCGGUGUAGGAUGAGCCCGCGGCCUAUCAGCUUGUUGGUGGGGUGAUGGCCUACCAAGGCGACGACGGGUAGCCGGCCUGAGAGGGUGAUCGGCCACAUUGGGACUGAGAUACGGCCCAGACUUCUACGGGAGGCAGCAGUGGGGAAUAUUGCACAAUGGGCGGAAGCCUGAUGCAGCGACGCCGCGUGAGGGAUGACGGCCUUCGGGUUGUAAACCUCUUUCAGCAGGGACGAAGCGUAAGUGACGGUACCUGCAGAAGAAGCACCGGCUAACUAUGUG